UGUACAUGCGGAAGGCUUUCUACCAAAUAGCAACCUUCAUCUCCGCAGAGGCUUUAUACUCCGCCAGAUGUGACUCACAGGCCUCAGCUAUAACCGCCUUCAAUUCAGGGGAAUCCUUAUAGUCUUGGAGGUGAGCUUCACAGGCCUGCUCAAUCUUUCUUUUCAGCUCAUCCGACUCCUGAUACUCCCUCAGACGCUUCUUGCACUCCAGCUGGAUCUUGUCCUCAGCAUGUCUAGCCACCUCGAGCAGGGCCGAACAUUUACGUUCUAAAGUCCUGACUUCAUGGCUGAGCUGUUGAUUACGAA
rnacentral:lncRNA from 1 species